rnacentral:lncRNA from 1 species
UCCAACCAACGUUGACGGCAUUGACUGGCAUAGUUAGGAUAAAUCAAGGAAGCAACUAAAAAAUGAGGGAUCAUGUUCUCGACUUGAUCCGAGUGCUGGCCCACUCAUUGGCGGCCAUGAUUUUGAUGUGGUUACAAAGAAGGCACAAAGGGUUUGGUUGGAACUUCAUCCAAGAGGGCCAGGACGAUGGUGGUUGGAA